AGAUCAUGUUGAGGGAAAUUGUGUAAAAUUCCCUUGUAUCGCUCCCAGGCUUCAAAUAGUGACUCCCUUUCGAUUUUUUUGGAAGUUUUGGAUGUUCUUUUUCAAUUU